rnacentral:tRNA from 1 species
UAGGAAGUGGUGUAGUGGAAGCACUAAGAGUUUUGAUCUCUUAAGGGGAGGUUCAAACCCUCUUUUUCUAA